rnacentral:rRNA from 1 species
GCGGAGGAAAAGAAACUAACAAGGAUUCCCCUAGUAGCGGCGAGCGAAGCGGGAAAAGCCCAAGAUGAAAAGCCUGCUUGCAGGCGUUGUAUUUGAGCGUUCUCGGGGUGUCAGUGUGGGUAAGUUGCAUGAAAAUGCACGCCGUGGAGGGUGAUAGCCCCGUCCAACCUACACAGGACACGCCGUACGAGAUCGUUUCAGGCGAGUCGGGUAGCUUGGGAAUGCUGCUCUAAUUGGUGGUAAAUCUCAUCAAAGGCUAAAUAACGGCUGGAGACCGAUAGCGAACAAGUACCGUGAGGGAAAGAUGAAAAGCACUUUGAAAAGAGGGUGAAAAGAACCUGAAACCGUCACGGGGGAAGCGGAUUGCGUUGGCUUGGUGGGUGCUUGUGUUUUCAGCCCUUUUGGGUGCAUUGACACUUGUGCUUAUUCGUCGUGGGUUUUUGGGGGUCGAUUUUGGAUCCCUGGAGGCUGAGGGCUCCCUUCGGGUGAGGACGGCGGAGUGACGACGCGAUACGACCCGUCUUGAAACACGGACCAAGGAGUCUAGCGCGGGUGCGAGUCGGAGGGUGCAAGCCCGUGGGCGUAGUGAAAGCGAGUUUAAAAACGAGCAGUUUGGGGCGGCAUAAGAUCGUUGAUCUUAAGACCGACCCGGAGCAGUUGCGCUGGGACCCGAAAGAUGGUGAACUAUGCCGGAGUAGGGCAAAGCCAGAGGAAACUCUGGUGGAGGCUCGUAGCGGUGCUGACGUGCAAAUCGCUCGUCCAACUUGGGUAUAGGGGCGAAAGACUAAUCGAACCAUCUAGUAGCUGGUUCCCUCCGAAGUUUCUCUCAGGAUAGCGGGCCGACAAGUUGUUUUGUGCGGUAAAGCGAAUGAUUAGCGUAUUUGGGGACAAUUAGUCUUCGGGCGAUUCUCAAACUUUAAAUGCGCAAGGGUGUCGCUGCUUUGUUGAGCGGCACCGGUAAAAACGUCGGCCCUGUGGGCCACUUUUGGUAAGCAGAACUGGCGAUACGGGAUGAACCGUAAGCAUGGUUAAGGCGCCAGACUGCCCGCUUAUAGAUCCCACAAAAGGUGUUGAUUCAUCGAGACAGCAGGACGGUGGCCAUGGAAGUCGGAAUCCGCCAAGGAGUGUGUAACAACUCACCUGCCGAAUGAAUUAGCCCUGAAAAUGGAUGGCGCUGAAGCGGGCGGCCGACACCAUGCCGUCUGGAAAAGAAUUUCAGAUGAGUAGGAGGGCGUGGGGGUCGUGUCGAAGCAUGCGUGCAGACGCGUGUGGAACGGCCUCUAGUGCAGAUCUUGGUGGUAGUAGCAAGUAUUCAAGCGAGAUCCUUGAAGGGCGAAGCGGGGAAGGGUUCCACGCGAACAUUGAUUGGGCGUGGGUGAGUCGUUCCUAAGCCGAGUGGCGAUUGCUAAGUAGCGGCGAAAGGGAAGCGGGUUGACAUUCCCGCACACGGAUGUGGAGGCGGUGACGCAUUAUUGGGGCGAACACGCUGGCGAUGGCGCUGGGCAGAGUUGUCUUUUCUGUUUGACCGUUUUGUACGCGCGGUGUGGAAUCCGCUUGUCGGGAGAAACACGCGUGUACGGGCAGAGCGCCGGGGCUUUUCCGGCGUCCAGCUCGCCAUCGACGGCCCUUGAAACUUUGCCUGCUGAUUUAGAUCCACGCCGUGGCGUACCGAUCACCGCAUCAGGUCCCCGAGGUGAACAGCCUCUGCUCGAUAUGAAAAAUGCAGGUAAGGGAAGUCGGCAAAUUAGACCCGUAACUUUGGGAAAAGGGUUGGCUCUAGUGCUGCGUGGGAGUGGUUGUCGGACGUUGGCGUUCCUGGCUUGGCAGGCAGGCGCGGUACCCGCAAGGGCGCUGUUCCGACUGCUGAGCUGGUUGCGCCACGGCCGACGACGCCCACAGCAUGCAGCAGACUAGAACUGCAACGGGCAAAGGGAAUCCGACUGUUUAAUUAAAACAAAGCAUUGCGAGGGCCGUGGCCGGUGAUGACGCAAU